GGGGCUGUGGCUCAGUGGUAGAGUAUCUGUUUGAGAUGCAGAAGGUCUCAGGUUCAAUCCCAGGCAUCUCCG